GACGAACCGAGCGAACGUUGUUCGGAAUCACUGGGCUUAAAGGGCGCGUAGGCGGGCCAUCAAGUCGAGGGUGAAAGCCCCCAGCUCAACUGGGGAAGUGCCUCCGAUACUGGUGGUCUCGAGGGAGAUAGGGCGUGCGGAACUUCCGGUGGAGCGGUGAAAUGCGUAGAUAUCGGAAGGAACACCGGUGGCGAAAGCGGCGCGCUGGAUCUCUUCUGACGCUGAGGCGCGAAAGCCAGGGGAGCGAACGGGAUU
rnacentral:rRNA from 1 species